GUGGCUACAGUCUGGUGAAGGACCUCAGAGGGCCAGAAAGACAGAGUGAGAGAGAAACAGAAAAUAUAAUGACCAUGAAGCUCAUCUUAAACUACUGCUAGGGACUGACAUACUCUGGGUGGCUUGUGCAGCAUCACAGAACCGCUGUGACCAGAACAUCGAGGUGGUGACUAAAUCAAAAUGUCAUUCCUGCUCCUUGACGUCUUUAGUACAAUGUCCUGAUGACUACACCAAGAGUCAGCCAGAGAGAAGUACAAGACAUGUGCUUAUGUGUGCUGGUAUCACAUCACCAUGGCUUUGUCUGUCAAGGGCUGUUCGUUCGAGUGUUACAAAGACACGGUGGAGCCCAAGUGCUGUCCAGGUCACUGGGGCGAUGACUGCAUUGAGUGUACAGGAUCAGCAGCGACUCCCUGCAGCAAUAAUGGAGUCUGCUCUGAUGGUAUAGCAGGCAAUGGGACUUGCACAUGUGCAUUUGUUGAAGGAUAGGGCUGCAGUGUAAAAGAUCUGUGCAGACCAGACUCCUGCCAUAAAUAUGCCACCUGUGCCACAGUGGAACCAGGAACAGUCGAGUGAAAACCCUGCUGGCUAACGAGAUGAGAGCUCGCUAACUUGCUAAGCUGCACAUGGUUGCAGGAGAGGUGAACACUGACUCGCUGAAGAAGGGAAUCCUCUACUACACUCUGACCGGCCUGGCUGUAGAAACAUUGACAGAUGGAGGUGAUUGAAUGCAGGUUGUGUGUGUUUGUGUGUGUGUGUGUGUGUAUUCCCCAGAUGUUUUCAAGGAUGUGCAAAUGCAGGAUACAAGAGCAGAAUCAUCACAUACUGUUUCACUCUUUUCUGCUCAGAUCAGAUUAUGUUUCAUUGUGUUUGUUAAGAUGACAGGGAAUACAUGAACUUUUCUGAAAUCUGUAAACUUCUAUUUUCAAGGCAGACCAGAUAAAAAUCCAUCUUCAAUGCAGUCGUAAGUAAGGAACUCUUGUGGAGACGGAUAUCUUUGCCUCAAAUUGAAUCAUCCAUUUGGUUGGAACUGCUUCCAUCAGCUUAUCAACCAAAUGGAUGAUUCCAAAAACAACAAUAAGUAAGUGUAGAUAAGCGAGAAAGAGGUUCGUGAAGAUAAAAGAUUUGUGUUACAUAAACAUCAUACACUUACUUAAUGUUGUUUUUGAUUGUCAUGAGGACCAAUAAUGUUUUUGUCUCUUAUUUUUCUUAAAGUAAAACCUGUUGCAUAUUCUCUCAGGGAAUGGAAAAUUCUCUGCUUGAGGUUGAGUUUUAAACUCUAUUAAUCCCUAAAUGAAUGUACUUUAAGACACUUGACCUGCUAGAUAUUACCUUUUUUUGUUAUAAGCCAAAUAUUUGCUACGUUGUAAAAAAAAUAUAUAUAAUAAUAAUAAUUCAUAAAAAUAGGUAAUGAUGUAUUGUAUUAAUAUGAAGGAAUUCAAAUGUUUAGCUGUAUUUAGAAUUUUGCACAUUGUUACAUUAUUGAAUUUUUUUAAGGUUAAUUAAUUUAUAAUUAUUUAAUUGGCCAUCUUUUUCUGACCAUAUAAAACUUAUCCCAGUUCAUCCUUUUUGUUAGAGUGCAAAAAUAACAACUGUUUGGUUUUAAAAAUUUAUUUUUUAUUAAAUAUGUUUUUAUGUCACAUUCUCUGUAUAUAUGUUCGAUCCAGUCACUUAAGCAACACUCUACAUUUUCUUUUCAUUUCUCCCAAUUUCAGGGUAAGACAAAACUACUUGAACUGAUGCACAAUCACAUAGUGUCCACUUCUCAGUUGAGUGCCAGCUUCAUUGUGUUGAAUCUUCGUGCUGUGACCUUGGUGGACCAGGUCCUGACAUUUAAUGUAACAACUGCUGGGUAGAUCCUGGUCAAUGGGGAGUCUGUUCUAGAGCUGGAUGUUGAAGUAAAGACUGGCCGUCUUCAUUCAGUGGAGGGGCUUCUAAUCCCUCCGUCCAUAGAGCCCACCAUACCUCACAGGUGUGACAUCAAAGAAACCAAUGUUUUUAAGGUAAGGCCUAUCUGUUAUCUCCACUUCUAUUGACCAGGCAAUACACCUUUCUGUCUUGAAGGUAUUUCUAUUUGAAAUAAAAUGUAAUGUUUAAAGAGGGGGAUAAUCACUUUCCCCUCCCACUGUAAAUUAAACAGCACAAAUACUACCAAUACUGCAUAAACAAUAGCAUAUUCUUAUUACUGUAAAUGUGUACUAAAUGUGUUCACAAAAUCAGAGGAAACAUUUGAGCUAAAUAUUGGGGGUACAAAAUGACCAAGAUAUAAUUGAGAAAGAUUGGAGUCAUCCAUAGAAUGCAGUUGGAGUAAUGGCAAUGUACAUUUACUUCAUUUGUUUCAAGAAUGCAUGUUACUGCAAGCUAGGCUUUUCUGGGGAUGGAAAGCAGUGUGAAGCGAUCAAUGUCUGUCUUAAAGAAUGCGCUUUUAUUAGGCUUUGAAUUGAAAACAUCAGAAAUUUGAUCUUUCUUUCCCCAUUGGUUGCAAGUAGAACUGAAUUAUAUA